rnacentral:rRNA from 1 species
GAUGAACGCUGGCGGCGUGCCUAAUACAUGCAAGUCGAACGCACAGCGAAAGGUGCUUGCACCUUUCACGUGAGUGGCGAACGGGUGAGUAACACGUGGACAACCUGCCUCAAGGCUGGGGAUAACAUUUGGAAACAGAUGCUAAUACCGAAUAAAACUUAGUGUCGCAUGACACAAAGUUAAAAGGCGCUUCGGCGUCACCUAGAGAUGGAUCCGCGGUGCAUUAGUUAGUUGGUGGGGUAAAGGCCUACCAAGACAAUGAUGCAUAGCCGAGUUGAGAGACUGAUCGGCCACAUUGGGACUGAGACACGGCCCAAACUCCUACGGGAGGCCGCAGUAGGGAAUCUUCCACAAUGGGCGAAAGCCUGAUGGAGCAACGCCGCGUGUGUGAUGAAGGCUUUCGGGUCGUAAAGCACUGUUGUAUGGGAAGAACAGCUAGAAUAGGAAAUGAUUUUAGUUUGACGGUACCAUACCAGAAAGGGACGGCUAAAUACGUG